CCCGUCACACCAUGGGAGUCGAUUGCUCCAGAAGUCAGUGUGCUAACCGCAAGGAGGCAGCUGCCCAAGGAGUGGUCGGUGACUGGGGUG
rnacentral:rRNA from 1 species